UGGGGAAUUUUGGACAAUGGGGGCAACCCUGAUCCAGCGACGCCGCGUGAAGGACGAAGGUCUUCGGAUUGUAAACUUCUUUUGGAGGGGAUGAAUGUCUGCGUGAAUAACGCAGGGUGACAGUACUCUCUGAAUAAGCCACGGCUAACUACGUGCCAGCAGCCGCGGUAAUACGUAGGUGGCAAGCGAUACUCGGAAUCACUAGGCGUAAAGCGCAGGUAGGCGGUUCGGUAAGUCUUUUGUGAAAGCUCCCGGCUUAACUGGGAGAGGUCAAAGGAAACUACCGGGCUAGAGUGUGGCAGAGGAAGCUAGAAUUCCCGGUGUAGCGGUGAAAUGCGUAGAUAUCGGGAGGAAUACCUAUGGCGAAAGCAGGCUUCUGGGCCAUCACUGACGCUGAUCUGCGAAAGCUAGGGGAGCAAACAGGAUUAGAUACCCCCGUAGUCC
rnacentral:rRNA from 1 species